ACCCCUCAUCCUCAACUUCCCCAUGGCUCCUGGUACUGCCCAGCCCCUGCUGGUCUCACCUGUCACCUCCACUACAGUGAUUCUGUCUAGCUUGAGAUGGAGCUGGGGCCAGCAAAUCCCUUCCCUGCAGUGUGGCCAGCUGAGACGACUGGGGCUCAAGAUCAAAGCAGCCUGGAUCCCAGGGUCUCACACAGAGGACAAGUGGUCUUGGAGAGUUGCCUGACCCACACUGCAGCUUGUGAGACACAGCGACAUGACGUCACAGCCAGUGAGAUUUGGGGCUGUUUGUUACCACAGCAGGAUGCUAGCCUAGCCUGACUAAUAUAGUCCUUCUUGAUAAUCUGGUGGAAACCAUGGAUCUUCUCCCCAGGAAAAUGCAUAGAACCAUUGCAUUUGGGCUACUCUCCUGGUCUGUCUGUCUGUCUGUCUGUUAUCUCUCUCUGUCUCUCUCAUCCCUCAGAUUGAGGAAUUAUGCACAUUUUAUCAGUACUCCUGCCACACUCUGUGACUGAUUGCUGAUAGUGUGGUAAUCCCCUUGGUCACACUGCCUUGCCCUUGAUUCUUUUGCUGGGGGCCUUUGGAGCACCAGUUCUUUACCCCUACCCUAGAAUACCUAAACACGUUCAGAUGGCCAAAAGAGUGAAUGCCUCGGUGGGCAGUCCUCCCUCCCCAGAGGUGUGUGGGAAUCGAACCACAGUUAUCAUUACAUAUCACUAAUGUGCACAUGUGCCUGGAACAUUUACCUGCUCCAAUUCCAUAAGUUAGACCUCCUGGAGUAUACGGGCUCAUUUUAUGUCAACUUGACACAAAGUAGAGUCCCUGGAGAGGAAUUUUCUCAAUUGAAAAAAAUGCUCAAUAAGAUAAGACUAUAGGCAAGCCUGUGGCGGGUGUGUGUGUGUGUGUUUCUCUCUCUUUCUCUCUUUUUCUCUCUCUCUACUUUCCUUCUUUCCUUCCUCCCUUCCUUCCUGUCUUUCUUUUUUUAUUUUUGGUUUUUCAAGACAGGUUUUCUCUGCAGCCCUGGCUGUUCUGAAACUCUCUCUGUAGACAAGGAUGGCCUUGAAUUUACCGAGAUCUACCCACCACUGCCUCCAAGUGCUGGGAUAAAAGGUGUAGGCCACCAGUGCUCAGCUAGAGGGCAUUUUCUUAACUAGUGAUUGAUGGGAGUGGGCUCAGCCUGUUAUGCCUGUGGAUAUCCCUGGGUGGGCGGUCCUGGUUCUAUAAGAAAUCUGACUGAGCAAGCCAUGAGAGCAGUCCAGUGAGCAGCACCCCUCCAUGGCCUCUGAAUCAGCUCCUGCCUCCAGGUUCCUGUCCUGGUUGAGUUCCUGCCCUUGCUGCCUUGGAUGAUGAGCCUGUUACGUGGAACCGUGGAUGAAAUAAACCCUUUUUCUCCCCA
rnacentral:lncRNA from 1 species